UGGUGAAAUCAUGAGAGUCUGUAUCUUAGAGUUUCUACUAAUCUUUGAACAUGAUUACUAGAUUUUUGUGUUAAAUUAUUUUAAGAUUAAAAAUUAGUUUUAUGAGAUGAUCAUAGAUCUUGUACAACUAUUAUUGAAGUGCCGAUGGAAUUUUUCAUGUUGAUUUUUUAAAAAAAUAUAUAGAGAGAGACUUUAAGAAGCUCAAACAAGUUUAACCUAAAAGAAGAGAUCUUAGAGGAUUUAUUAUGCUCUCAAGCUAGUUAAUUUUGAAACUUUUGACUCAUCGGAAUAUAA
rnacentral:lncRNA from 1 species